rnacentral:misc_RNA from 1 species
GUUCUUGGAAGCAGCACUACGCUAUUAUGAUAUAUCUCAAAUUGAAAAGAGACAAAUAGGAGACGAAGAGAUUGACGAAGAAGCAUUGGAACAAGCUUUAUCUGCUGCUGUGACUUGUACAAUAUUGGCAGCUGCUGGCCCACAGCGGUCCCGAGUUCUUGCCACAUUAUACAAAGAUGAGCGUUGCUCGAAGUUAAAAAUCUAUCCAAUACUGCAAAAGGUUUA